ACUAUAAACACUAUGGCGUCCAACUAGCUUAAGUUUUAACCGUCUGGCGUCUAUAUUUAUAAUUUAACUCAUCAUAUACUUCAUUUGAAGAUGAUGUAAGAAUAAGCAAAUCUCAAGUUUAAAUAAAUAAAAUGGAUUUAAACCCUGCACUCUCAGCAAGGUCUACUCCAUCAGCUCGAAAAUUAAUCAAACAGUCAGGUAGCCUUGAGAUAAUAAAAGGGGAUGCUAACACUGUGACAGCUUGCCAAAGUUCAAGUACUGGUUGUUUUAGCUCUGAUGCAUCAUCACGACCAUGGU
rnacentral:sRNA from 13 species